GAAUUCAAUAUAAAUAUAAUUUUAGAUUUUAAGUUUAAAAAAUUUAUAUUUAUAUUUUGUUGGGAGGACAUUUAAAUUAAUUAAACUUUAAAAGAUUGAAUACACUAAUUAGUGAAAUUUUGAUUAUUGGUUUUUAAUUUAGAAUUAAUUACCUUAGGGAUAACAGCGCAAUAUUUUUGGUGAGGUCUUAUUAAUAAAAAUGUUUGC
rnacentral:rRNA from 1 species